rnacentral:rRNA from 1 species
AGAGUUUGAUCAUGGCUCAGAAUCAACGCUGGCGGCGUGCCUAACACAUGCAAGUCGCACGAGAAAGGGUAGCAAUACCUGAGUACAGUGGCGCACGGGUGAGUAACACGUGAAUGAUCUACCUCCGAGUGGGGAAUAACUUAGGGAAACCUGAGCUAAUACCGCAUAACACUUACGAGUCAAAGCAGCAAUGCGCUUGGAGAGGAGUUCGCGGCAGAUUAGUUAGUUGGCGGGGUAAUGGCCCACCAAGACGAUGAUCUGUAUCCGGCCUGAGAGGGCGCACGGACACACUGGAACUGAAACACGGUCCAGACUCCUACGGGAGGCAGCAGUGGGGAAUUUUGCGCAAUGGGGGAAACCCUGACGCAGCAACGCCGCGUGGAGGAUGAAAUCCCUUGGGAUGUAAACUCCUUUCGAUCGGGACGAUUAUGACGGUACCGGAAGAAGAAGCCCCGGCUAACUUCGUGCCAGCAGCCGCGGUAAUACGAGGGGGGCGAGCGUUGUUCGGAAUUAUUGGGCGUAAAGGGUGCGUAGGCGGUUUGAUAAGUCUGAUGUGAAAUCUAUGGGCUCAACCCAUAGUCUGCAUUAGAAACUGUCGGGCUUGAGUAUGGGAGAGGUGAGUGGAAUUUCCGGUGUAGCGGUGAAAUGCGUAGAUAUCGGAAGGAACACCUGUGGCGAAAGCGGCUCACUGGACCAUUACUGACGCUGAUGCACGAAAGCUAGGGGAGCAAACAGGAUUAGAUACCCCCGUAGUCC